UUACGGUCAUAUUAAGUUGAAACAUAGUUUCACUUACGAUCACCGAAGUUAACCAAAGUCGAGCCUGGUCAGUACCUAGGUGGGUGACCGCUUGGGAAUACGAGGUGAUGUAA